AGGACGAACGCUGGCGGCGUGCUUAACACAUGCAAGUCGAGCGGAAAGGCCCUUCGGGGUACUCGAGCGGCGAACGGGUGAGUAACACGUGAGUAAUCUGCCCCUAGCUCUGGGAUAGCUCCGGGAAACCGGGAUUAAUACUGGAUACGACCACCUUAGACAUCUUUUGUGGUGGAAAGAAUUUCGGCUAGGGAUGAGCUCGCGGCCUAUCAGCUUGUUGGUGGGGUAACGGCCUACCAAGGCGACGACGGGUAGCCGGCCUGAGAGGGCGACCGGCCACACUGGGACUGAGACACGGCCCAGACUCCUACGGGAGGCAGCAGUGGGGAAUAUUGCGCAAUGGGCGAAAGCCUGACGCAGCGACGCCGCGUGGGGGAUGAAGGCCUUCGGGUUGUAAACCCUUUCAGCAGGGACGAAGCGAAAGUGACGGUACCUGCAGAAGAAGCGCGGCUAACUACGCGCCAGCAGCCGC
rnacentral:rRNA from 1 species